GAAAAUGUCCUGUUUGUGUUGCUUGGGAAAAAUAAUUACACUGCUUGUGCUUAUUUACACAGUCACAGCUUGCUGGAGAAAGGCUGAUUUUCCACCCUCCUUCACACGGUCCUGUGAAGAAUUCCUGCUAUUUCAGCAGCUGCAGCAGCACUACUUGUACCUGCUGGGGGCUCUGGUAACCACGAGAGCACAACCUGAGUGAUGGAGGACCAGCAAAAACCUCGCAGGAGUUUACAGACCAAAGCAGGAUUUUACAAGGACCUAGGCUGCUUCCCUGCUAAUUGCACCACCUUACGUGACAAAGGUGUCUUCAUAACCCCAGCAAAAGCUGCUUAUUACUUGACAUGAUGAUUUCCAAUCUGUUGUCAGAACAGUUCCUGGCAUCCUGAGUGCAAGGCACUGACGGCUGGAUAGCUUCAUGCAAGUUUAAUGAAGCACAAGGCUCCAGAUACCUGUCCCGAGGCACUGAUCCUUCCUGGAUGGCUCAGAGACUUCACACUCCUCCACGAGAAGGCAGCUCUGCCUUGU